UCUUCCAGAGAGUUCCGAAAUGCUCUGACUUCUCUCUACUUUAUCUCUCUAGAUUUUCUAUGAUUUCUCGGUCUAAUAUCAAUGUUUACAUGGUAUCAGAGCCUAGACGACGAUCCGAUUGUGUUUCUCUACUUCUCGUUGUCUUGGUUGAACUCUUUUUGAGAUUUUCUAGGGCUUUUUCUGAGACCUUAUGGUCGAUGAUGGCUUUGACCUAGAUCGGAUGUUUUUCCGAGUUUUUCGUCAUGAUACUUGAGUAUAUUCUCUUCACCCGAACAUUGUGAGAGUUUUUCUGCUUAUUUUGGGUGGUUUCUCGGUGACCUAUCGGCUUCUAGGGUUUCUGGUGGUUUAACCUAGGGUU
rnacentral:lncRNA from 1 species